rnacentral:tRNA from 1 species
GCCCCUGUAGCGCAAUGGAUAGCGCGCCGGUUUCCGGAACCGGAAGUUGUGGGUUCGAAUCCCGCCGGAGGCGCC